UCAAGGCAUUACUGCUCGGUCGUUUCCGGUCCGCGUAUUUACAUUGCGCUAGCUUGCAGAUUUGGCAAUAUUGUUUGAUGUCAUUAUGAAAAGGAAAGUGUUAAAAACUUGUCGUUUUCAAAAACAAGAAAAAAAGUAUUCAGAGCACUGCUGUGUUCCUCUCUGCACAGCAUCGUCAAAAUUUAACGGCGUGUUAAGUUUUCAUGGCUUUCCGACACAGACCCAUCAGAGAAAACAGUGGCUAGUUAGCAUUCGCCGGGAUAAUUUCGACAUCACCUCUCACUCAAAGGUCUGUAGCAGACACUUUACCAACGAUCAGCUCAUCGAACCAGCAACACUUGACGGUCGAAGACGGCUCGUUAAAGGUGCUGUACCGGCACUUUUUGAGUGGAAUGGCUAUUGUGUUGAACCAGCACGGCGCAGUGUGUGGGAGAGAGUGGAGCGGCCUGAGGCAGCUCCUCCCGAGAAGGAUGAAGAGCACCUCGAUGUCACAGAUGACCAUGACUAUUGCUCAGUCCCUGAACCAGCUGCAAUGGACAUGUCCGCAUCAGCUGCUGAAGAUGUGUCCACAGAAGUUGAAGAGCUGAGAAUGGAGAUACAGGAGCUACGUCUUCAGCGAGAGUUUGGAUUACAGCGGUUUGCUGGCUCGGACGCAGACAUCCGAUUCUAUACGAGAUUUUCAAGCUAUGAGCACCUGAUGUCGUUUUGGUCUCUGAUUCAGCCUUGCCUUCAUAAAAUGGUCUGGGUCACAAGAGCCAAAUCAGCUGCCAAAAGAAAUGAGGAAGUCAUCACUCCUGCACGUUCAUCAACGCGACAGGUGCUCCAGCCCAUUGAUGAGUUCUUUCUUUUCCUCUGUUAUUUGUCUGCUGGCUUGAGGGAGAGGGACCUGGGAAAUCAUUUCAACGUACACCAGUCCACAGCGAGCCGCAUCAUUGCAACAUGGACAAGUUUUCUAGCCACUGCAAUGGGGUCUGUUUGCAUUUGGCUUACACCUGCAGAAGUGCAAGCCAACCUCCCUGAGGAAUUUCAAGAUUUUCCAGACACCCAGGAUCAGGAGAGGCCGAUUGUUUGUAUCCUCUCAGCCCUCUUCCUGAAGACAGCAGUGUGAACAGAGAUCCUCACCCUGAUGCCAAAGGCUGGAGACUCAAGCAUCCUUUUGCUUUGAAUGCAGGAGGAUCAGCCUUCCAGGAGCUGCAGCCGUCAGCUUUGCAGAGACUGUCUGAGGAGUAGAACACUGACUAUUCUCCGUCCGUUUUCUCUACCUGACCACCGUCUCCUUUCAGACACUGAGUUCCUUUCUAUCUGUCAGAAUGAACAGCAGGCUGCAGCCAGCGCUGGUUGCUACUUUAUUGCAUUUUUGUAAACAAAUCUGCACUUUCCAACCCCUUAUUAAGUUAAUCUGCUUAAAACCUUCCUUUAUUUUGGAAAAAAAAACUAGUUUUAUUCCUGCCUUUACUAAGAUCCUAUUUAGGUAGCAUCUAUAGAUAAUCACAGAAUAAAAGUUAAUAAUUUACUGAUCAGAUCUAUAUUAUAAUAUUUCAUCCAUCAUGAUGAAAAGUGUUGCAGAUUUUCCUUUUUUUAUGGUUUUCCACUGUUAUUUAAAAAAAAAUCUUAUUUUACUUGUAAGAAAUGUUUCUCAGAUGUUAGUCAUAAACAUUUGUAGUUUUAUUCCUGCUACUUUCGUUUGUCUAUCUUUUUUAUUAUGCAGAAAUUCCACAUGAUGAGUGCAAAAUGAUUCCAACCAAUGUCUAAGUUUUCCUAAACUUCCAUGCUGUCAGCGAUCGUACCUUCCUUUCUGGGAAUAUCUGACCUGCGUAAUCAUGAGAAUAUAAUGAUUUGAAGGAAAAUAGCUUUUUUUUUUACAGUGAAACCAUCACUACUCUUUAAUGCAAACAGAAUGAAUUACAGCGAUGAUUUUGUAAAAGAUUGUAAAAAUAUAAAAUAUAUAUAAACAUUUAGCAUUUAAGAUAAAAAACAAACUUAAUCUAUCAAUAUUAUCUAUCCAGAUCUCCUCCAGUGGAAAACCUUCAGAUUCACCUGGUUUAAUUUCAUCUUUAAGGAACUUUAGCUUUCUGAUCAUUAAUGGAAAAGAUGAAUCAACAGAUUAAACGAUUGGAGAAAUAAUCAAAUCAGCAACAGAGAGCAACUGGUCCAAGUCUGAGCUGCUGAAUCGGGUCAGACUGGCAGCCAGGAGCCGCAGACUCUGCAGAGCUUCAUUAUUCACUAUCCAGCUUCUAACUAAGUUGUCCUUAAUGUUGUCCACAGUAGCUCAGAGGCUAUUCUUCCUUAUUCAGACUAAUCCAUUGACUCAUUACUGCCCUACAUCUUUUUUAUAGAAAUUAUUUUUCCUUUUUUAUGGGCUUGUUUGUAAAAGCCUGCCCACAGUCACUGCAGUGUUUGUUAAUUAAAUGUCCCACUGUAGGGUGAAACAUUUCCAGCAGUAGAUGAGGAAGACCAGUGCUCCCAUCAGCCUUCCUGCUCAGGCCAAACUGGGCCAGACAGACAGAGCCUCCCUUGUUUCCUCAGAGUCAGAUUCAUCUAGGCUAAUUUCCCCCUCAGAGGAGCACAUGCUGCUCUUGUGAUUCCAGCCUUUAAUGUUUCUCCGUCAGCAGCAGGAGUUCAGACUGAGGAGCU